rnacentral:misc_RNA from 1 species
CGCACCUUGCGCUCCUUGGUAUUCCGAGGAGUAUGCCUAUUUGAGUGUCAUUAAAUUAUCAAGCUUUAUUAACUUUUUGUUGGUAAAUUGCUUGGAAGUGGGAGUGUGCUGGUUUCUCUAUUGAAAUCAGCUCUCCUGAAAUGCAUUAGCUAGUCGCUUUGUGUAAACUAGUCUAUUGGUGUGAUAAUAUUUACGUCGUAGACUGUUUACUACUCUUCAGCACUGCUUCUAAUUGUCUAUUUGACUUGGACAAUUUAUUUAUGAUAAUUUGACCUCAAAUUAGGUAGGACUACCCGCUGAACUUAA